rnacentral:rRNA from 1 species
UUACACAUGCAAGUCGAACGGAAAGGCCCUGCUUGCAGGGUACUCGAGUGGCGAACGGGUGAGUAACACGUGGGUGAUCUGCCCUGCACUUCGGGAUAAGCUUGGGAAACUGGGUCUAAUACCGGAUAGGAACCAUCUUUAGUGUGGUGGUUGGAAAGUUUUUUCGGUGUAGGAUGAGCUCGCGGCCUAUCAGCUUGUUGGUGGGGUAAUGGCCUACCAAGGCGGCGACGGGUAGCCGGCCUGAGAGGGUGUACGGCCACAUUGGGACUGAGAUACGGCCCAGACUCCUACGGGAGGCAGCAGUGGGGAAUAUUGCACAAUGGGCGCAAGCCUGAUGCAGCGACGCCGCGUGGGGGAUGAAGGCCUUCGGGUUGUAAACUCCUUUCGCUAGGGACGAAGCUUUUUUGUGACGGUACCUAGAUAAGAAGCACCGGCUAACUACGUGCCAGCAGCCGCGGUAAUACGUAGGGUGCGAGCGUUGUCCGGAAUUACUGGGCGUAAAGGGCUCGUAGGUGGUUUGUCGCGUCGUCUGUGAAAUUCUGGGGCUUAACUCCGGGCGUGCAGGCGAUACGGGCAUAACUUGAGUGCUGUAGGGGUAACUGGAAUUCCUGGUGUAGCGGUGAAAUGCGCAGAUAUCAGGAGGAACACCGAUGGCGAAGGCAGGUUACUGGGCAGUUACUGACGCUGAGGAGCGAAAGCAUGGGUAGCGAACAGGAUUAGAUACCCUGGUAGUCCAUGCCGUAAACGGUGGGCGCUAGGUGUGAGGGUCUUUCUACGACUUUCGUGCCGUAGCUAACGCA